AAAGGCUGGCCGAUCUGUGCCCCCAACCCUGAUUCCAAUAUGCAAAUGGGGGUCAGAGCUCUAGGGCUGAGAGGGAAGGGGGUCCCGGAGCCUGACUCUCCUCUGGGACUCUCUCCCUGCCCCCCAGCUGGUAGGCUCGCGGGGCUUCAGGGGACAGAGAGGGCCGGUGGGGAGACGCCUAGCGAAGGUUCAGGCUAACCUUCCCGCACCUCCCACUCUGGCCCCAGGCUGCGGGGAGCGCGCCCCGCCGGGGCACGGGCUGGGAGCAAGGACACUCCCCAGGGCCAGCGAGCUUGGAGGCCUGGGCCAGGAGAUGGCGCCCUGGCUGGCCGCGGCACCCCAGCCCUGAGCGCCCAGCUCUGAGGAAGAGUAGCCCUGAGCUAACAUCUGCUGCCAAUCCUCCUCUUUUUGCUGAGGAAGGCUGGCCCUGAGCUAACAUCCGUGCCCAUCUUCCUCUACUUUAUACGUGGGAUGACUGCCACAGCAUGGCUUGACAAGUGGUGCCAUGUCCACACCCGAGAUCCAAACCAGCGAACCCCAGGCCAUGGAACCAGAACAUGCAAACUUAACCGCUGUGCCACCGGACUGGCCCCAUGGCAUUAUUUCUUUCAUAAUUUAAUUCCUGUUUUAUUUUUUCUGUUCUUUCGUUUUGGAGGUUU
rnacentral:lncRNA from 1 species